CCUACGGGUGGCAGCAGUGGGGGCUAUUGCACAAUGGGGGAAACCCUGAUGCAGCGACGCCGCGUGUGGGAAGACGGUCCUCUGGAUUGUAAACCACUGUCCCCAGGGACGAAGAUGACGGUACCUGGGGAGGAAGCUCCGGCUAACUACGUGCCAGCAGCCGCGGUAAUACGUAGGGAGCGAGCGUUGUCCGGAAUUACUGGGUGAAAAGGGAGCGUAGGCGGGGAUGCAAGUUGGGUGUAAAAACUACCGGCUCAACUGGUAGUCGCACUCAAAACUGCAGCUCUUGAGUGAAGUAGAGGACGGCGGAAUUCCUAGUGUAGCGGUGAAAUGCGUAGAUAUUAGGAGGAACACCAGUGGCGAAGGCGGCCUGCUGGGCUUUUACUGACGCUGAGGCUCGAAAGCGUGGGGAGCAAACAGGAUUAGAUACCCCGGUAGUC
rnacentral:rRNA from 1 species